rnacentral:misc_RNA from 1 species
AAGUCGUAACAAGGUUUCCGUAGGUGAACCUGCGGAAGGAUCAUUAACGAGUUAGGGUCUUCUCGGCCCGACCUCCCAACCCUUUGCUUACUUGACCAUUGUUGCUUCGGCGAGCCCGUCUUUACUGACCGCCGGGGGACCAUAAAACGUCCUCUGGUCCGCGCUCGUCGGUGGCCAACUUUUUAUAAAUUCUUAACUAAACGUGUCAUUAUCUAAGUACUAUUGUUAAUUAAAGCAAAACUUUCAACAACGGAUCUCUUGGUUCUG